rnacentral:pre_miRNA from 1 species
AAUAGAUGACGUCGUUGACUUUUUCUCACAUGUUUGACCAUUCGUCUUAUUUAAAAAAUUUACGUAAUUAUAAUUUAUUUUGUUAUGAGUUGUUUUAUCACUCACAAUAUUUUAAGUGUGAUUUAUAUCUUAUACAUUUGAAAAAAAAUUGAAUAAGACGAAUGGUCAAACAUGUGAGAAAAAAUCAACGGCGUCAUCUAUU